GACGAACGCUGGCGGCGUGCUUAACACAUGCAAGUCAGGGGGCUCCGCGAGGGGGUCACCGGCGAACGGGUGCGGAACACGUGAGCGACCUGCCCCUGUGUGGGGGAUAGCCGGCCCAACGGCCGGGUAAUACCGCAUACGGCCUGCCGUAUUGGACGGCGAGGCGAAACCGGUGCAAGCCGGGCACGGGGAGGGGCUCGCGGCCUAUCAGCUAGUUGGGGGGGUAAUGGCUUCCCAAGGCGAUGACGGGUAGCUGGCCUGAGAGGAUGGCCAGCCACAUUGGGACUGAGAGACGGCCCAGACUCCUACGGGAGGCAGCAGUGGGGAAUCUUGCGCAAUGGGCGAAAGCCUGACGCAGCGACGCCGCGUGGGGGAGGAAGGCCUU
rnacentral:rRNA from 1 species